rnacentral:rRNA from 1 species
GACGAACGCUGGCGGCGUGCCUAAUACAUGCAAGUCGAGCGGACAGAAGGGAGCUUGCUCCCGGAAGUUAGCGGCGGACGGGUGAGUAACACGUGGGCAACCUACCCUGUAGAUCGGGAUAACAUCGAGAAAUCGGUGCUAAUACCGGAUAAUCAUUUGAAGUGCAUGCUUCGAAUGUAAAAGAUGGCUCCGGCUAUCACUACGGGAUGGGCCCGCGGCGCAUUAGCUGGUUGGUAAGGUAAUGGCUUACCAAGGCAACGAUGCGUAGCCGACCUGAGAGGGGAAUCGGCCAAACUGGGACUGAGACACGGCCCAGACUCCUACGGGAGGCAGCAGUAGGGAAUCUUCCGCAAUGGACGAAAGUCUGACGGAGCAACGCCGCGUGAGUGAUGAAGGUUUUCGGAUCGUAAAGCUCUGUUGUUAGGGAAGAACAAGUGCCGUUUGAAUAAGGCGGCACCUUGACGGUACCUAACCAGAAAGCCACGGCUAACUACGUGCCAGCCGCCGCCGUAAAAC